rnacentral:tRNA from 1 species
UAUGGCAGAUUAGUGCAAUGGAUUUAAAUUCCAUAUAUAAAAUUUUAUAAAUUUUUAUUAAAA